CCUACGGGGGGCAGCAGUAGGGAAUUUUCGUCAAUGGGCGCAAGCCUGAACGAGCAAUGCCGCGUGAACGAGGAAGGUCUUCGGAUCGUAAAGUUCUGUUGAAGGGGAAAAAGAGCGGAGAGAGGAAAUGGUCUCCGAUUGAUAUUACCCUUCGAGGAAGUCACGGCUAACUACGUGCCAGCAGCCGCGGUAAUACGUAGGUGGCGAGCGUUAUCCGGAAUGAUUGGGCGUAAAGGGUGCGUAGGCGGCCUGCUAAGUCUGGGGUGAAAGGUACCGGCUCAACCCCGUCCGGCCGUUGAAACUGGGGGCCUUGAGUGGGCGAGAAGAAGGCGGAAUGCGUGGUGUAGCGGUGAAAUGCAUAGAUAUCACGCAGAACCCCGAUUGCGAAGGCAGCCUUCCGGCGCCCUACUGACGCUGAGGCACGAAAGUGCGGGGAUCGAACAGGAUUAGAUACCCCUGUAGUC
rnacentral:rRNA from 1 species